UUCAUCUCUGUUUCUCUCUCCCUCUCAUCAAAACCUAGCGACGGUCUUCUCCCUUCACUCACACCACCUCUAAUCUGCCAUCACCCAACAAUGAUGCUCCAAAAACUGGUCGUGCAUUUCAGCCACUCACCUCUGUUUAUUAGAUAAGGUGACUGUACUGAUCUAUUCCUAGCUCUAUAAAAUCCAGAGAAAUGUCUUUUUGCCCCUUUUGGAACAUUAGUUGAAGACAUCCAGUGGAGAGCAUCACAGUUCAGAAAUUUUUUUUUUUAGUUUCACAAAUUCUUUAUGUAAUCAAGUAGCUAAUGUAAUAUCAAAGGAAGCUCUCAAGAGAAAUUCUAAGGGAAUUUGGGUGGAGGAAUGCCCCCUUUCCUUCUUAAUUCUGUAUAGAUAGA